rnacentral:rRNA from 1 species
CCUACGGGAGGCAGUAGUGAGGAAUAUUGGUCAAUGGGCGGAAGCCUGAACCAGCCAAGUAGCGUGCGGGAUGAAGGUGCCAAGCAUUGUAAACUUCUUUUGUCAAGGGACAAAAUCAGGCUCGAGAGCCUGACCGAGGGUACUUGAAGAAAAAGCAUCGGCUAACUCCGUGCCAGCAGCCGCGGUAAUACGUAGGGGGCAAGCGUUAUCCGGAUUUACUGGGUGUAAAGGGAGCGUAGACGGCAGCACAAGUCUGGAGUGAAAUGCCGGGGCUUAACCCCGGAACUGCUUUGGAAACUGUGCAGCUAGAGUGCAGGAGAGGUAAGUGGAAUUCCUAGUGUAGCGGUGAAAUGCGUAGAUAUUAGGAGGAACACCAGUGGCGAAGGCGGCUUACUGGACUGUAACUGACGUUGAGGCUCGAAAGCGUGGGGAGCAAACAGGAUUAGAUACCCUUGUAGUC